rnacentral:rRNA from 1 species
AGUGGCGGACGGGUGAGUAACGCGUGAGAAUCUGCCUUGGGGUCGGGGACAACCACUGGAAACGGUGGCUAAUACCGGAUAAGCCGAUUGGUGAAAGAUUUAUUGCCCGAAGAGGAGCUCGCGUCUGAUUAGCUAGUUGGUGAGGUAAGAGCUCACCAAGGCAGCGAUCAGUAGCUGGUCUGGGAGGACGAUCAGCCACACUGGGACUGAGACACGGCCCAGACUCCUACGGGAGGCAGCAGUGGGGAAUUUUCCGCAAUGGGCGAAAGCCUGACGGAGCAAGACCGCGUGAGGGAGGAAGGCUCUUGGGUUGUAAACCUCUUUUCUCAGGGAAGAAGCUCUGACGGUACCUGAGGAAUCAGCCUCGGCUAACUCCGUGCCAGCAGCCGCGGUAAUACGGAGGAGGCAAGCGUUAUCCGGAAUUAUUGGGCGUAAAGCGUCCGCAGGUGGCGAUUCAAGUCUGCUGUCAAAGCACGGGGCUUAACUCCGUAAAGGCAGUGGAAACUGAAUAGCUAGAGUGCCGUAGGGGUAGAGGGAAUUCCCGGUGUAGCGGUGAAAUGCGUAGAGAUCGGGAAGAACAUCGGUGGCGAAAGCGCUCUACUGGACGGCAACUGACACUCAGGGACGAAAGCUAGGGGAGCGAAUGGGAUUAGAUACCCC